CCCAGAAGUCACAAACAAAAAGAUCUAAUAUUUCCAAAUAGUCAAGAAAUUUCCACAACCCACGUUCAGUACUUUUUAACUAGACAUGCGACAACUUAUACUCGUAGAUGGCUCUGAAUAAUGUAUGGGGUAGGCGGGAUUAUUUAUAUGUAAACAAGGUCACAGUACAAACAUAUCAAUACGAACAAACAUCACACACCAACACCUCACGAACAUGUAGUAUAUUUUUUGGUUCGCAUGUAUAAUGGGAAGCUUCCAACGCAUGCCUGCGAACGCAAGAUCCUAUCGAAUCCUGCUGCGCAGAAAUGGUCCAUCUCGUGCUUAUUAGCCGCCAUUACGGAUCGGCGGGCAGUUUCGCUGAGCCGCAGCUGCCACAAGUGAUGGACAAAAACAAGUUAAUUUGCUAGAGAGGAAGAAAUGCAUGAUUUAAUUUACUGGGAGGGUUCACAUGCAUGCAUGGAAACAUGAGCUGUGGCAGCUAGCUUACGGUUGCUGCAGGUGGACGGGCCACGUUGUGCAAGGAUGCCACCAACGAACACCAGCAGAACAAGGAGGAUCAGCAUCAGCCGAACCGAGGUCGCAGAGGAGUUCUUCUUUGCCAUCCUCGAUCGUUCGGCUCUUUGCUUCGUUCCUGUGUUUCUACUUGGAUUGGCAAGC
rnacentral:lncRNA from 1 species